UUUUAAUGCGAAUUAAUAUAAAAGCCGGUGUUGCAAUCAUUUCAACUGCAUUAAUCAACAAUCGGGUUCGUAGUGAUCAGUGAGUAGUGAAUUUAUUUGGAGUAAAAAUGUCGAUUUUCAAAAACGUGUGUGGUUUGCUGAUGCUUUUGUCGAUGCUGAUGGCAACGGCUGAUGCAGUUAUACCGGAUCGUUUUGCCGGUUUCGGUUGUCACACUGGUUAUUGUUGGACAGCGUGCGAUAACUUUGGGGAGGGUGCUGGCUGGUGUUGGUCCACAAAGAGCUAUUCACAAAGUUAUAGAUACGUAACUUGUAACACUAAUCGGGAUUGCGAACAGAAUUGGAAAUGCGCUUCUAUUUGUAGUGUAUAAUGCAAGAAAUUAGAUUUGACGCUGGAUUGCAUUACAUAAAGACAGCAGAAUAUUGAUUAGUAAUUGUAAAAAUAAACCAACAAAUUUACUUAAAA